ensembl:lncRNA
UUACUCAGAUCCUGCCCAAACAGGUAUCAGAACCCUGCCUGUGAGGGGACAAUGAGCUCUGGGCACAGAGGCUGCUGGGAACCAGGGAGACGUGGGCAAGGGGCCACCAACAGAGUUGAAGGAGAAGCCAAAGGAAUCAAGGGGAGAAGGUGGGGAGAUAUGCCAGGAGUCUGACAUGGCUUGGCCAUAGUGCAUAUGUAUAUGGCAUGGGAGGGAGGAUGGGAUGGCUGAAAGAAGAGUCCCCUCCCACUGGAGCCUAGCUAUCCUACUACCUAUUACAUUCAAGAGAGCUGGAGUGAACUGGAAAAGGUGCAAGAAAAGAGUUCUGGAAUGAGUUGAAGUAAGGCACUGAAUGAAGGGGCCAUGGGAAUGCUCAGAGGAGUAGAUGCCAGGAACAGCUGCCCUGCCCCAGAUCACUGACUGCCAUACCCAAUGCCUUAUCGACUGCCCUCCAGGCCUCCACUACACCUCAGGGAAGUGCCUUGAUUGUCCCGUUGGCUCCUACUGUCUGGGAGGCAGAACAGCUCCAAGACUGUGUCCAGUGGGAACAUUCAGCAGGACCACUGGCCUUGGGGCUAUCACAGGUUGCCAGGUUUGCCCCACAGGAAAAAUCAGCUCAGAGACUGGAAGCCAUUGCCGGGCCUGCCCAGAUGGCUAUGCCUGUGACCCCCAUAUAGGGGUCCUGGGAAGCUGUAGGCCUGGGGAGUACUCACCUGAAGGGGAGCUUUGGUGUAAGCCAUGUCCCAUUGGCCAUUUCUGCCCUGAUGGAAGGGUCAGAGAGCAUUGCCCAUCAGGACAGGAGCCAAGUCCUCAGCUCACAAGAUGUGUCCUCUGCCCUCUUGGUUAUUUCUCCCUGGGAGGAGACCCAGGCUGCCAGCCUUGUCCUGAAGGACAUUAUUGUCCCUUCCUUGGGACAACCCAGCCUCUCCUGUGCCCACCAAACUCUUCUGCUGGUACCCUUGGACAAACCAAGUGCCAGGACUGUGGAGAGGGAGGCCAAUGUGUGGAUGGUGAACACCAAGAGGAAGCACUCAUUCAGUCUACAGAGCCACCUCCAUCAGAAAAAGAAGAGCAUAAGUGUCCACUUUGCCCAUCAGGUCACUUCUCCCCUGAUGGCAUCACCAUCCCUCCAUGCCCAUCUGGAAGCUUUGAAGCCCAGAAAGAGAGCCCACAGCUCAUCAAAGAGACCAUCUCUUGCUCAACAGACCUGGGAAUGUGUCUACGGUGCCCAGCUGGACAUUUCUGUCCCAAGGGAGCCACCUACCCCAGCCCAUGCCAAGCUGGCACAUUCAGCCCUCUCCCUGGACAAGAUGAAGCGGCAGAUUGCAUUCCAUGCCCAGCAGGCAGAGCCUGUACCCAGACUGGGCUGGCCCAGCCAGACUCAGAGUGCUUCCCGGGGUAUGUGUGUCCCAUUGGAUCCUCCAGUCCGUACUCCCUCAACAAUGCCUGCCCCCCAGGAACCUUCAGUGAUCGUACUGACCUCUUUGACCUGUCUCAGUGUGAGUCUUGUCCAGCUGGACUGGUUUGUACUGGGGGAACUGGAGGUGUGGAUAGACCUCCUGGGCAAUGCCCCACUGGCCACUACUGCCCUGUUGGCACAAAGCACCCAACCCAGUUCCAGUGUCCAGCAGGUACCUGGAGCAACCAGACAGGUCUAGCCUCAGAAAAAGAAUGUGUGCUGUGCCCAGCUGGCUGGUUCUGUGUCCUUGGAACUCACACCCCUUCAGGACGGUGCCUUGCAGGACAUUACUGCCCUCCAGGUUCACAGUGGGGUACCCAAUUUCCAUGCCCACCUGGUACCUACAGUUUCCAAAUGGGCAAUGACCAACCAGCUAAUUGUACCAGCUGCCCCCCUGGAGCCUACUGUCCCAGUGGAUCCCCCAAACCUGUGUUCUGCCCAGGGGGAACAUUCCAAGUACAUCCAGGUGCUCAGAUGAUUGGUGACUGUGCCCUUUGCCCUGAAGGGCAUCACUGCCCUGAGCUUGGAACAAUGACUCCCGUACCAUGUGCUGCUGGCAGCUACUCUAGCUCUGGUCAGCUACUAUGCCAGGAAUGCCCAGAAGGAAAAUUCUGCAAUGGCACUGGGGUAGCUGAACCUUCAGUAUGUCCUCCUGGGCAUUACUGCCCAGCAAAGAGUAUACUUCCCAACCCAUGUCCAGUGGGCACUUUCCGAGAGGCUCCAGGUGCAACUAGCAUGGACUUGUGCCAGCCAUGCUGCCCAGGCAGGUUCUGUAGCAAAACUGGCCUGAAAGAACCAGAAGGUCUAUGUGAUCCUGGGUACUACUGUGGACCUGGGUCCAAUACUUCCUCUCCGGUGGGGUUUUCCUUUGGUGACUUCUGCCCAAAGGGCCAUUACUGCCCUGCUGGCACUGCAGACACAGAACAGACACCCUGCCCAGCUGGCACCUGGAAUAAGAAGAAAGGGGCACAGGAUGCUAGCUGGUGUCUAUCCUGCCCUCCUGGCUUUUUCUGUGAUGUCGCCGGCAGUGCUGCCCCAGGAGGUCCAUGUGCCCCAGGAUUCUUCUGCACGGGAGGGACACAGACCCCAAGGCCAGUUGGUGGAGCAGGUGGAGAUCUUUGUCCCACUGGUCAUGCCUGCCCCGAAGGCUCCUCCUUUGCCAUCCCCUGCCUGGAUGGGCAGCAUAGCAAUGGAACAGGCCAGAAGAGCUGCCUCCCCUGCCCAGCAGGGUCUUACUGCCCAGGUGGUCAAAAGAAGCUCUGUCCCCCUGGCUCUUAUUGUCCCAAGGGGACCGGCAGUUCCCCCUGUCCCUGUCCCCCAGGGACAUUUGGUCCAUUUCUUGGGUUGAGCCAGAUGCAGGACUGCCAGCCGUGUCCAGCAGGAAUGUUCUGUGAAGAGCAGGGGCUCAAAUCACCCAGUGGUCCUUGCCAGUCGGGCUUCUUCUGCUCCGGAGGUAUCAGUAAAGCCAUCUCCAAGAAAAAGGAAGAAGGAUCAGAACAACCAAUAUAUGUGGCACCACUAAAGAGCAAACCUAUUCCAUCCUUCUCACCCUGACCCUCACCAUUCCACCACUCUCCUUCUGUCCCUCUGUCCUUAUGAGAUAAUGUAGGUGUACCCUCUUAGUAAAAGAGCUUGGACAGUUUUAUUCUCUCUGUCUAUAUUGGCUUUCUGUGGGGGAGUACCUUUCCUGCCACUAACCACAGUGAGAAAAAGUUUCUAUUGGGAAUAGGAGACCUUGACCUAUUAUUUCAAUUAAAUCUCCAACUCCUAGGAAGACUGUCUCCCUAGAUCCUUAGAUCUAAAGUUUGCCUUAUGAUUGGCAAAGGAGGAGGGCGGGGUCCUGCCAGGAAAGGGAC